rnacentral:rRNA from 1 species
UAGGGAAUCUUCGGCAAUGGGGGGAACCCUGACCGAGCAACGCCGCGUGAGUGAAGAAGGUUUUCGGAUCGUAAAGCUCUGUUGUUAAGGAAGAACGGGUGUGAGAAUGGAAAGUUCAUGCUGUGACGGUACUUAACCAGAAAGGGACGGCUAACUACGUGCCAGCAGCCGCGGUAAUACGUAGGUCCCGAGCGUUGUCCGGAUUUAUUGGGCGUAAAGCGAGCGCAGGCGGUUAGAAAAGUCUGAAGUGAAAGGCAGUGGCUCAACCAUUGUAGGCUUUGGAAACUGUUUAACUUGAGUGCAGAAGGGGAGAGUGGAAUUCCAUGUGUAGCGGUGAAAUGCGUAGAUAUAUGGAGGAACACCGGUGGCGAAAGCGGCUCUCUGGUCUGUAACUGACGCUGAGGCUCGAAAGCGUGGGGAGCGAACAGG